GGAGAUGUAGUACAGUGGUAGAGCUUAUGCUUAACACACAUAAGGCCCUCGACUCAAUCCCCAGCAAUCUUCU
rnacentral:tRNA from 1 species